UGGGGAAUCUUCCGCAAUGGGCGAAAGCCUGACGGAGCAACGCCGCGUGAGUGAAGACGGCCUUCGGGUUGUAAAACUCUGUGAUUCGGGACGAAAGAUAAGUAGACGAAUAAUCUGCAUAAGUGACGGUACCGAAAAAGCAAGCCACGGCUAACUACGUGCCAGCAGCCGCGGUAAUACGUAGGUGGCAAGCGUUGUCCGGAAUUAUUGGGCGUAAAGCGCGCGCAGGCGGCUACUUAAGUCCAUCUUAAAAGUGCGGGGCUUAACCCCGUGAUGGGAUGGAAACUGAGAAGCUGGAGUGUCGGAGAGGAAAGUGGAAUUCCUAGUGUAGCGGCGAAAUGCGUAGAGAUUAGGAAGAACACCGGUGGCGAAGGCGACUUUCUGGACGACAACUGACGCUUAGGCGCGAAAGCGUGGGGAGCGAACAGG
rnacentral:rRNA from 1 species